GCGGAAGUGGCGAAAUUGGUAGACGCACCAGAUUUAGGUUCUGGCGCCGCAAGGUGUGAGAGUUCGAGUCUCUCUUUCCGCACCA
rnacentral:tRNA from 1 species